CGCGCGCUUGCACUGUGAGGGAGCUACAAUUGCUAGUACCAUCAGAAGACACCUGUUGAGUGUGUUUUAUGUCUUCUGCAGGAAUAAAUCGUGAAAAGCCAACCUUUCCGAGCGUCUGUGAUUUUUGAAGAGCUGGAAGCGUUACACCAGUAUUUUGAGUUGUUAUGUUUUGGUUUGUUUUUGCAUUUUGGAUUCUUUGCUUAUUAUUAUGCUGAUUAUUAUGAAUCUAUGUUUCAGUUAUUCUUGUUUAGGGAUUAGUUCGUAGGUUUUGUGUCCUCAUGUUUAUUGCAGGUUUAGUUCAGUAUCUAGUCUGUCUCUGUGUCGUGUCUGCGUUUUUGUUUAGUGGUGUCUUGUUUCCUGUUUUACUCUGAAGGUUCAUGUUCCUGUCUUAUGUCAGUGUUUCUAGCUUUG